rnacentral:snoRNA from 1 species
GCAUGGUAAUGGGUUCAUGGGGGGCACUUCUCUGUGGGCCUCAUAGAGUGCCCAUACCAGUGUAAACUUCAGCCCUGAAACAUUGCCCUGCCUCCUUACCUAUAGGCUGUGACUACUAAAGGGGAUUGCAAAAAA